AGAGUUUGAUCCUGGCUCAGAACGAACGCUGGCGGCGUGGCUAAGACAUGCAAGUCGAACGGACUGCUCAAUUUAUUGGACAGUUAGUGGCGAAAGGGUUAGUAACGGAUAGGUAACGUACCCUGUGCUUUGGGAUAGCGUCAUCCCGAUUUCGGUCGGGAUUUCCGAAAGGGGCGGUAAUACCAAAUAAUAUCAUUUGUCUAUAGGCGGAUGAUCAAAGAUUUAUCGGCACAGGAGCGGCCUGCCUCCUAUCAGCUUGUUGGUGAGGUAACGGCUCACCAAGGCAGCGACGGGUAGCGGGACUGAGAGGUUGACCCGCAACAUCGGGACUGAGACACCGCCCGGACCUCCACGGAGGGCUGCAGUAACGAAUAUUGUGCAAUGGGCGAAAGCCUGACACAGCGACGCCGCGUGUAGGAGGAAGUCCUUCGGGAUGUAAACUACUGUCAGGGGGAAGAAAGUGCGCUUCGGCGCAUUGAUCUAACCCAAAGGAAGUCACGGCUAACUUCGUGCCAGCAGCCGCGGUAAGACGAAGGUGGCAAGCGUUGUUCAGUAUCACUGGGCUUAAAGCGUGUGUAGGCGGAAAAGUAAGCGUUUCGUGAAAUCCCCCGGCUUAACCGGGGAACUGCGCAACGAACUGCUUUUCUUGAGGCAAGUAGGGGUGCAUGGAACUCUUGGUGGAGCGGUGGAAUGCGUAGAUAUCAAGAGGAACGCCAGUGGAGAAAUCGGUGCACUGGGCUUGUCCUGUCGCUGAGACACGAAAGCGUGGGUAGCGAACGGGAUUAGAUACCCCGGUAGUCCACGCCGUAAACGAUGCCUACUAGGUUGUGAAAGUUCUGACACUGGCACAGCCGAAGCAAAAGUGCUAAGUAGGCCGCCUGGGGAGUACGGUCGCAAGGCUAAAACUCAAAGGAAUUGACGG
rnacentral:rRNA from 1 species